UACGUAGGGUGCAAGCGUUGUCCGGAAUUAUUGGGCGUAAAGGGCGCGUAGGCGGCGCGGUAAGUCACCUGUGAAAUCUCCUGGCUCAACUGGGAGCUUGCAGGCGAAACUGCCGUGCUGGAGUGUGGGAGAGGUGCGUGGAAUUCCUGGUGUAGCGGUGAAAUGCGCAGAUAUCAGGAGGAACACCGAUGGCGAAGGCAGCUCGCUGGGACGGUACUGACGCUGAGGCGCGAAAGCGUGGGGAGCAAACAGG
rnacentral:rRNA from 1 species